CUUAAAGCUAAUAUUAAUGUUUUGUUCCACCUUCCCUUGAUACUUCUCCUCUAUAAAAGCUUUAUCUCUAAACCUAAAUCCAUCCCAAAUCAAAAACCUAAUGCAAAAGCUACAUCCAUGGCAGUGAAAUUCACCGGAGAGUCUCAGCUUAUCACCGGAAAAUCUCCUGUCACUGUCUCUUUAAACGACAUCUCACCAGUACCAGCUGAGUCAGGGAUUCGAUUUCGGGUAAUCUAUUAUUGGGAGCCAAGAAACAUAGCAAAAGCUGAGGCCUUUAUUGGGUUAGAGCUCCUGCUCAUCUAUGAACAGGAGACUGUGAUGCAAGGUUUCAUAUCCUCUACUCUCGCUCCAACAUACCUGCCUCAUCUCAAAGCAGGAGAAACUUACAUCCUUCAGAAUUUUUAAGCUGCCAAAAGCAAGGAGAUUUAUCGUGUUACUGAUCAGAGUUUAACAGGUUCAGGUUCCACUCACAUGAGGAUUUCCAAUAUAAAUGUGGUCCCUCUUCGGUGAAUAUACAGUCUCUCAUUGACCCCCAUAUCCUUGACGAAGCGGAAAUAAUGAGCGUCGUGUUUUGGUAUAUUCGCAAUCAAAAGAUGUACAUGUUAUGAAGCUGUACUUUGGAACCAGGCUGCAAAGAUUUUUACAAGAAAUUCACAUCCAGUAAAGACACUCCCACGGAGUCCCACCGUUCUUUUGAUCACAACUGUGAACCCAAAACGUCUAGCAGUGUGUCACUAACGGGUGUUUUGAAUGCGUUAACCAAAAACAUGGAAUUUUGUUAUCAGUUCUAUAUCAUCCUCACGUGUCUUUAUAGACAAAGAUGUCCAUCCCACGAUUGAUUACUUCAACUGAUUAGUAAUUGUAGAGACAACAGUGGUGAUUUUGUCAAUUCCAGGUAAUGUUCUAUUCAGACUCUAUUGAGUGAACAUGACAGAUCUUUUGUUUUGUAAUUUGUAUCAGGUUGAGUUCUAACCUAGAGAUUGCUAAGCGGGUUAAUGCAGAUGACGUUACUAAGGCUGAGACAAUGAGUUGGGCAAAUCUUUGCUUACAUCAAGAAGACAUAUGCCAAGGAAGCUUCUUUCAACUACAUAGCGACAAUUGAUUAUGUUGAGCAUGACAGUGCAUGGUAUUAUAUUACCUGCGGCGGUUGUCAAAGUAAGGCCACCAAAGGCUCUUCUUCACAGAUGUGCGCCAAGUGUGGCAACACUAUAUACAGUUCAUGUCCAUAUUUUUUUCUUGAAGAUCAUGUCCAUAUUUUUUUCUUGAAGAUCAUGUACAUAUUAAGAUGGUGCAAAGAUGAAUGUUUUAAACUCA